GACGAACGCUGGCGGCGUGCUUAACACAUGCAAGUCGAGCGAUGAAGCACCUUCGGGUGUGGAUUAGCGGCGAACGGGUGAGGAACACGUGAGGAAUCUGCCUUCCACUCUGGGAUAACUCCGGGAAACCGGGGCUAAUACCGGAUACUUUCAACUGGCGGCAUCGCCGGUUGAAGAAAGUUUUUCGGUGGAAGAUGACCUCGCGGCCUAUCAGCUUGUUGGUGAGGUAAUGGCUCACCAAGGCGACGACGGGUAGCCGGCCUGAGAGGGCGACCGGCCACACUGGGACUGAGACACGGCCCAGACUCCUACGGGAGGCAGCAGUGGGGAAUAUUGGGCAAUGGAGGAAACUCUGACCCAGCGACGCCGCGUGAGGGAUGAAGGCCUUCGGGUUGCAAACCUCUUUCAGCAGGGAAUAAGCGAAAGUGAAGGUACCUGCAGAAGAAGCACCGGCUAACUAUGUGCCAGCAGCCGCCGUAA
rnacentral:rRNA from 1 species